GCCUGCUGUGCCUGAGUCGAAGUGAGUUCGGGAAGCCAGUGCCCGAAUGCUCAACCUUGCUGUAUCAGGGAGGGCCGGAGAGGGGAGCUCAAGAAGAGGACGUCCUAUCGAGGUGGCAGGGAUUUUCUGAAGGAGGGCGUAUUUUGGGGCCCCAGGAAGAGGAGACAGUGGUCUUCCCUGAACUCCGAGACCUGCCCCGGGGCCCUGCCGGUGUGCACCUUGCCGUCCAUGUUGGCAAUGCUGCAGUUGCACUCGGUGGCGCCGUAGAACUCCCCGAU
rnacentral:lncRNA from 1 species